rnacentral:tRNA from 1 species
GCCCACGUAGCUCAGUGGUAGAGCGCAUCCUUGGUAAGGAUGAGGUCACCAGUUCAAAUCUGGUCGUGGGCUCCA